ACUCACAACUACACACACACACACAUACGGUGUGUGUGCAUAUGUGUGUGUGUGUGUGUGUGUUUUGUUGUGAGUUU